AGUUGUGCGACCCGUGAAGACACGGGUUACCCGCAGCUGGACGGAAAGACCCCAUGAAGCUUUACUGUAGCUUGCCAUUGGAUUUGGUCUCACCAUGCAGAGGAUAGGUGGGAGGCUGAGAAGCCGGGGCUCUGGCCUCGGUGGAGCCAACCUUGGAAUACCACCCUUGGCAAGAUUAAGUCCUAACCGGGGACCUUACCGGUUCUCGGGACAGUGGCAGGUGGGCAGUUUGACUGGGGCGGUCGCCUCCCAAAUGGUAACGGAGGCGCCCAAAGGUUCCCUCAGCACGGUUGGAAACCGUGCGGCGAGUGCAAGGGCAUAAGGGAGCUUGACUGUGAGGCUCACAAGCCGAGCAGAGCGGAAACGCGGGCCUAGUGAUCCUACGGUGGCAAGUGGAAGCGCCGUGGCUUAACGGAUAAAAGCUACUCUGGGGAUAACAGGCUAAUCUCCCCCAAUAGUCCACAUAGACGGGGAGGUUUGGCACCUCGAUGUCGGCUCAUCGCAUCCUGGGGCUGCAGUAGGUCCCAAGGGUUGGGCUGUUCGCCCAUUAAAGCGGUACGUGAGCUGGGUUCAGAACGUCGUGAGACAGUAAACUGGACCGUUGCUGUCUAUAAAUCCGGCUGUAUGCUGGGAAGCCUGGAGUAU
rnacentral:ncRNA from 1 species